rnacentral:rRNA from 1 species
UGAGGAAUAUUGGUCAAUGGGCGAGAGCCUGAACCAGCCAAGUAGCGUGAAGGAUGACGGCUCUAUGAGUUGUAAACUGCUUUUGUACGAGGGUAAACGCAGAUACGUGUAUCUGUCUGAAAGUAUCGUACGAAUAAGGAUCGGCUAACUCCGUGCCAGCAGCCGCGGUAAUACGGAGGAUCCGAGCGUUAUCCGGAUUUAUUGGGUUUAAAGGGAGCGUAGAUGGAUGUUUAAGUCAGUUGUGAAAGUUUGCGGCUCAACCGUAAAAUUGCAGUUGAUACUGGAUAUCUUGAGUGCAGUUGAGGCAGGCGGAAUUCGUGGUGUAGCGGUGAAAUGCUUAGAUAUCACGAAGAACUCCGAUUGCGAAGGCAGCCUGCUAAGCUGCAACUGACAUUGAGGCUCGAAAGUGUGGGUAUCAAACAGGAUUAGAUACCCUGGUAGUCCACACGGUAAACGAUGAAUACUCGCUGUUUGCGAUAUACUGCAAGCGGCCAAGCGAAAGCGUUAAGUAUUCCACCUGGGGAGUACGCCGGCAACGGUGAAACUCAAAGGAAUUGACGGGGGCCCGCACAAGCGGAGGAACAUGUGGUUUAAUUCGAUGAUACGCGAGGAACCUUACCCGGGCUUAAAUUGCAGAUGAAUUACGGUGAAAGCCGUAAGCCGCAAGGCAUCUGUGAAGGUGCUGCAUGGUUGUCGUCAGCUCGUGCCGUGAGGUGUCGGCUUAAGUGCCAUAACGAGCGCAACCCUUAUCUUUAGUUACUAACAGGUCAUGCUGAGGACUCUAGAGAGACUGCCGUCGUAAGAUGUGAGGAAGGUGGGGAUGACGUCAAAUCAGCACGGCCCUUACGUCCGGGGCUACACACGUGUUACAAUGGGGGGUACAGAAGGCAGCUACCUGGUGACAGGAUGCUAAUCCCAAAAGCCUCUCUCAGUUCGGAUCGAAGUCUGCAACCCGACUUCGUGAAGCUGGAUUCGCUAGUAAUCGCGCAUCAGCCAUGGCGCGGUGAAUACGUUCCC